UACGUAGGGUGCGAGCGUUGUCCGGAAUUAUUGGGCGUAAAGAGCUCGUAGGCGGUGUGUCGCGUCGGCCGUGAAAACCUGCAGCUUAACUGUGGGCUUGCGGUCGAUACGGGCAUCACUGGAGUUCGGCAGGGGAGACUGGAAUUCCUGGUGUAGCGGUGAAAUGCGCAGAUAUCAGGAGGAACACCAGCGGCGAAGGCGGCGCUCUGGGCCGGUACUGACGCUGAGGAGCGAAAGCGUGGGGAGCAAACAGG
rnacentral:rRNA from 1 species